UCUCUCGUAUUUCUCCUGAAGAUGAACCCAAGUGUCCGGUCAUCAUUUUCAUCAAUUCCAAAAGUGGAGGCCAACUUGGUGGUGAUCUUCUUGUGACCUAUAGGUCUCUUCUCAACGAAAACCAGGUUUUUGAUUUGGGGGAAGAAGGUCCGGAUAAGAUUUUGCGUCGAAUUUUUGUUAAUCUUGGAAAGUUGCAGAGGGAAGGAGAUAAGUUUGCCACUCAUAUCCAGGAGAACUUGAGAUUAAUUGUUGCAGGUGGUGAUGGAACCGCAGGGUGGCUUCUUGGAGUUUUUUAUGAUCUCAAGUUAUCUCAUCC